AACGUGGGUUACUCGAUUUCUUCCAGCAAACACAAGGCCUUUUUUUUUUCUCCUGACUUUUACUAUUGUUACUUUACAUGAGCAAAAACAAUGUUUCAGGAUAUUUUCCCACACAGUACAUUAAACAGCUUCCCAUCUUUCAUCAGAUGGGAAAUAAAACAGACUCAAGUGGAGAAAGGCAUGAGAAAGAAUUAAAAACCAGGAGCUAUUGGCAAAAUAAUGAAUCUUCCAGAGAAGGGAAUUUACAAAUGAAAAAGGUGUACAUGGCAGGCACUGUAAAUGAGGCAGCACGGAGAUGGCUCAGUGAAUUAAUGCACUUGCUGUCAUGACUAACACACACACACUCACUAACACACACACACACUCACACACACUCACACACUCACUCACAGGGGACACAUACACAUGGUGCACACACACACACACACACAAACACACACAUGUAUGCACACACACAAACACACAUGUAUCCAAAUACAAACAAACACAAACAGGACACACACACACACACACUCACAGGGGACACAUACACAUGGUGCACACACACACACACAAACACACUCACAGGGGACACAUACAUAUGGUGCACACACAC
rnacentral:lncRNA from 1 species